GUGGACAAGGCCGCCUGGUGGAGUAGACGACAAGGCCGCCUGGUGGAGUAGACGACAAGGCCGCCUGGUGGAGUAGACGACAAGGCCGCCUGGUGGAGUAGACGACAAGGCCGCCUGGUGGAGCAGACGACAAGGCCGCCUGGUGGAGUAGACGACAAGGCCGCCUGGUGGAGUAGACGGCAAGGCCGCCUGGUGGAGUAGACGACAAGGCCGCCUGGUGGAGUAGACGACAAGGCCGCCUGGUGGAGCAGACGACAAGGCCGCCUGGUGGAGUAGAUGACAAGGCCGCCUGGUGGAGUCGAAAGACAAUCCAACACAGAUGGAAUAGUGAGAAACUAUUUAUUGAUCUGACAAUUUCCUUAUCUGUAGUUUUUAUCUGUAGUGUUUAUCUGUAGUGUUUCAGUUAGGGGCAACCUUCGCCUCGAGCGGC